rnacentral:rRNA from 1 species
CAGCAGCCGCGGUAAUACGUAGGGUGCAAGCGUUAAUCGGAAUUACUGGGCGUAAAGCGUGCGCAGGCGGUUUGCUAAGACAGAUGUGAAAUCCCCGGGCUCAACCUGGGAACUGCAUUUGUGACUGGCAAGCUAGAGUAUGGCAGAGGGGGGUGGAAUUCCGCGUGUAGCAGUGAAAUGCGUAGAUAUGCGGAGGAACACCGAUGGCGAAGGCAGCCCCCUGGGCCAAUACUGACGCUCAUGCACGAAAGCGUGGGGAGCAAACAGGAUUAGAUACCCCUGUAGUCCCUGUCUCUUAUAA